CUCUCUCUUCGACUCCCCCAAUCUUUCAUGCUUCUCUCUCUUCGACUCCCUCAUCUAGGGUUUGUUAUGCCGUUGCGGCCUGGUGAACGUGAACUCCCUCUUCAUGACCGCCGUCUUCGUGGGCUUCUCCCUCACCACCUCAGGCCAGCGCAACCUCGAGAAUCGCUCCUCCUGCAGCGCUGACAUAAUAGACUUUCAAUGAUAAUGCUCAGAGGAAGGCAGAGGAAGUAGGUAUGGUUUUUAAUGUGGGUAUCAUAUAAUAUAACUCGUUUUGGUUUGUAGUUGAUAGUGUGACCCGUGAUGCCGGUGGUGUACGAAAACCAAAGAGAGCAAGAGCAAGAGGUUGUGACUGCCACUCUCUAUGACGACAAAUAUCUUCAACACAACAAGUUUCUUUCCUCUUUUUAUUAUUAGUUUGAUUUGGGUUUGAAUAAAAUGCCCUAGUUAGACUCACUCAGCGUAUUGAUUUGAAUUGAAUGUUAUGGGUAGAUAAAAUGAGGUACAUGAAGCCCUUGCAAUUGUUUCAUGAUUUGAAGAAAACGUGUCUUUUACACUUAUUUUCCUCUACAACAUUGUAGAUACUGAUAAGCAGGCGAAAGAUUCUCAAGGCAACCAUAAGAAGGUUGGGAUUUCUUUAGGAGAUGUAGCAAUUGUUGCCAUAAAUUUAGCCAGACGGCCUGAGAAUUAUGGGAAACUUAUUGUGGUUUUGUUGAUGAUGUAGAAUAAUUAAGGGCCAACGAGAAAUAAACUUGGUAGGUCUAAAAUAAAGUCCUUGUGUGGUCCACCACCUCACUGAACCAUACCACGCGCAUCCACUUCUAAGGUUAAUUUCUUUCAUUCACACAGGCUUUUUAUGUAAUGAACAGAACCAAGCAACAACAUCGUUGGUAGGACAAAGUACAAUCAGCUGCCAAUGGGCCUUGCAUUAAACAAAAAUUAGGUGUCAUUGUGAGUGAUGAAGUAUGAAUUGAAAGCACAAAAGUAAAUAGGUUAGCACAUUUGAACGGAAAUCAUGGUAUGGUAAGCCAAACACUUCAUAAAUGUCCGGUGAGAUAUGUGGCCUUAUAACUGUGAGAGAACGAUUGUCCUUAAUUUCCUGAUUUUGCAUGAUUCUGAGAUUGUUUAAGUACAUACAUAAGGUGAAAAUGAUCAAGGCCUUGUUUGAUUUUCUUAGCCACUGAGCCAAAUAGCCAACCUGUUACUAAAAUGAAUACCUUGCACCCUGUUGAGCUUAAUGCAAUAAAUUGUUUUUGAAACCUGAGCCGAAUGAAAUUAAUGACCACUUUGUCUUAGGUUGUAGGAGAGCAUGGGUCAACACAAAUUUAUCCCUAAUUUGGGGGAGGAGGAUUUUUUGGUUUCGGGAACAUCAAUAAUAGCACACACUUAAAUGUAAAUAAGUUGCUGCAGUACCAGUUUAAGCCAGUUAUAAUUUCAAAAAAGAAAAGAAAAGAAAAAUUGAAAAAAAUAAAAAUUGUGUUUCAAAUAAAGAGCUUAUAGCAACUAAGUGCUAAUAAAUUUUGUGUGUUGUUAGGAAUAGAAGACAAGAAAGUUGGGGGCUAUGAAAUAUAAGUCAUGGGUUAUCAGGUAUGUGCUAUCUUAGAAUCUAACUUUGUUUCCAAAGAAAAACCAUGAGUUCUUUGUUAGCCCAGCCAUGUUACAAGCCUAAAAAGCCCUUAGUGAUCCACAAUAUGUAUGUAUGCUUUCCUUAACUAAGAAGAAGUACAAAAUUGGGAACAUUAGUUCAGUUGUUGACUUUAAAAACACUUAGCCGAGACACUUGUGCGCUGAGGGAAUCACUAACCUUGUGAGGAAUGAAGUGUUGUAAUUUUGCCUCGAUGAAGUUUUUAUUGGCUAACCUUUUUCAUCUCCAUGUGUAUUCCUUCACGCUUCCAUCACAAGAUCAAGACAAAUGCAAGCUCAGGAUCAUUCAGUGAAAAGUUUGAAAAGGUUUCGUAGUUAUCUCAUGUGUUGAUACUUUCAGACUUAUUUUUGCUUGAGGACAAACAAAUGUUUUAAUUUGGGGGAGUUGAUAACUGUGAAAUAUGAGCUAAUUUGAUAGCCAAUUUUGGCUAAUAAAUGGGUGCAAUUUCUUCACUAGCAGAAGUCAAGAGAAAAAGAAUUCAAGUGCUUUGAAGGAAAAUUGAUGCAAAAUUUGGAAGAAAAAUGGAAGAAGUAGACAGCUCGCUUAGCACCCCACCUAGGCUUAGUGCGUGCCUGCGCUUAGCACGCAGCUCAAGCUUAGCGCGAGAACUCGCGCUAAGUGUGAAGUCAACGUGAAAAUUAAGCUACCUGAAACCUAUAUAAGGAGGAGGAAGCAGAAGGGAAAGACACGCCGAGUCUUAGAGCUAUCCAAGCCUAGGCCUAUCCCUUAGGGAAAACCCUUUUUCUUAGUCAUUCCCCAUUUUCUUGCUAUUAGUCACCCAACCCCUUCUUCUAUUAGCCUCCGGAGUGUAAAGUCUCUCAUGGCUAUGAGAAGCUAAACCCCAUUUGUUGGAGCCUAGUAGCCAAUGCCCUUAUAAUGUAACUCUUCUUAUCUAUUAAUGCAAUUUCAAUUUCUAUUGUC